rnacentral:misc_RNA from 1 species
AAGACUUUGAUUCCCAUAAUAUAUGCAUGCGCAGCCAUUGUGGCAACAAUGCCAUCCAUCACAAAUUAUUUGAGAAGAGGAAUGGGGUGGCAUUUUCCAAAAGUGGUAGGCUUCGAACUAUUCACCUCUCUGGUGAUGGCUUUUAUUGGUUGGCAACUCUUUUCUGCAUGUCAAAGACCCUCAUCCUAAGAAAGUCCAGUACCAUCUCUAAGACCAGAGAGUUGGUUGGGGAUAGGCUCUUGGAACAUAUUGAAAAAAUCUAGCCAUUGGCUAUCAAUUCCGCCCCGACAAGGCUGUUGGACUGUUUUUUCAAAAUUUUGUAGCAUCUUUUAUUUUGCUAUAAAAAUUACUGAUUUGUAAUUUCACUUUCUGUGAUGUUCAGAGGAUUGAAUAGAUAGAUUUUCCUUUACCACAUGAUUCAAGUUUUUCUUGAAUGGACGACAUAUGGAUAGGGUACUGAAGUGCUGUAAAGGAUAGCUAAGAGUGAUACGGCUCUUCGAGUACUUGAACGACUGCUAGGAUGUCCUACUACUAUUUAUCUGCAAGNNNNNNNNNNNNGGAGUCAGUUAAUUUGUGUUGUGUCACCUGCUAAAAGGGUUCGGUUAAUUUGCAUUGUGUCACCUUUCACAAGGGUCGAUUAAUUUGUAUUGUAUCAAGAGAUAUCAAAGCAUAUGCAAGACAUUUUUUUUUAAAAAGCAUUGCUACUUCAUAGCUAAG